CACUCUUGUGCUUUGAGCUCUUUCCUCCAAAAAGAGAACUUGAAAGCAAAUCAAACGAUUUUUCGAAACCUCUUUCUUAUCAAAGCAUGAUUGAAAGAAGGAUUUCGAUGAAACUUGGUUGGAGGAGGUGUUAGGCAGUUCAGUCUCUUAUAGGGUGGUUAACUCUCUUAUAAGAGAUGCUAACCUUACUCAUAGUAUUCCCGGUUAAUGAAUUCUAGUUUAUGUGAGUAAGCAUAGGGUAGGCUUAUGUGAGCGAGUAAGGCUUGGUUAAGUCUC
rnacentral:lncRNA from 1 species